GGGGUGUGUAUGUUCUCAUGGAAGACUGCCGUGACCACAUGUUCCAGAGCAGCCUUUAUAAGGGUCAUCCCAGGUGAGGCUUUGGCUUGAGAGGAAAGGAGAAGGCAAGUGGUGAUCACUAAGCAUCUUAAGGAGGACGUGCAGGGAUGAGACCCAUGGACCACAGCGUGCUGAAAUGUUGUCUCUUCUCUCUACUCUUGCUAACAGUGUCUGCAGCAGACCCUGCAUCCAAUGCAGCCAUUUUAGCUAGUGAAAUGAUUCCAGGCAAUGCAUCCAAUACAGGCCAAGCACCCAAUACAUCCACUAAUACAUCCAACACAGCCAGUACAAACCAACCA
ensembl:lncRNA